UGGGGAAUUUUGGACAAUGGGGGAAACCCUGAUCCAGCCAUCCCGCGUGUGCGAUGAAGGCCUUCGGGUUGUAAAGCACUUUUGGCAGGAAAGAAACGUCAUGGGUUAAUACCCCGUGAAACGGACGGUACCUGCAGAAUAAGCACCGGCUAACUACGUGCCAGCAGCCGCGGUAAUACGUAUGGUGCAAGCGUUAAUCGGAAUUACUGGGCGUAAAGCGUGCGCAGGCGGUUCGGAAAGAAAGAUGUGAAAUCCCAGAGCUCAACUUUGGAACUGCAUUUUUAACUACCGGGCUAGAGUGUGUCAGAGGGAGGUGGAAUUCCGCGUGUUGCAGUGAAAUGCGUAGCUAUGCGGCGGAACACCGAUGGCGAUGGCAGCCUCCUGGGAUAACACUGACGCUCAUGCACGAAAGCGUGGGGAGCAAACAGG
rnacentral:rRNA from 1 species